AUGGCUACGCCAGGUAGGAGACCUGCGCAAACUCCCUGUGCUUACCGGGGGGCUAGAGAGACCGGGCAGGCACCGUGUUAUGCUGUGGUGCGCAUGGUGUCUCCAGUGCGGGUGCAUAGCCCGGUGCGGUACAUUCCAGCUCCGCGUAUCGGCCGGGCUAGAGUGAGCAUCGAGCCAAGUGCCAUGAAGCCGGCUCUACGCAGCUGGUCCCCAGUGCGUCUCCUUGGGCCGGCUUACAUGGCACCAGCCUUGCGCUCGGUGUCUCCGGUUCGCCUGCAUAGCCCAGUGCGGGCUAUUCCACCUCGCCGCACUGGCAGGGAGACCGUGAGCAUUCAACCAGGUAAGGUUGGGCAGGCUCGGUGCUCAAGAGCUCCAGUGCGCCUGCACGGUCCGGUCUAUCCAGUACCACCUCCACACCCCAGCCCUCCGGUAGCAGCUCCCCGCACCAGGCUUCCUGUGCGUGUUCUCGGCCCAGUACCACCAGUGCCAGCACCACGCAUCAGGCCUACAGUGCGCCUCGCAUGUCCAGCGCUGCCGGAGCCUUCCUCCUCUCCAGCGCUGCCGGAGUCUCCCGCCUGUUCAGAACUGCCAGUCUGCAAGGAGCUGCCAGUCUGCAAGGAGCUGCCAGUCUGCAAGGAGCUGCCAGUCUGCAUAGAGCUGCCAGAGCUGCCAGUCUGCAAGGAGCUGCCAGUCUGCAAGGAGCUGCCAGUCUUCAAGGAGCUGCCAGUCUGCAAGGAGCUGCCAGUCUGCAUAGAGCUGCCAGUCUGCAGGAUGCCGCCAGUCUGCAAGGAGCCGCCAGAGCUGCCAGUCUGCAAGGAGCUGCCAGAGCUGCCAGUCUGCAAGGAGCCACCAGAGCUGCCAGUCUGCAAGGAGCCGCCAGAGCUGCCAGUCUGCAAGGAGCCGCCAGAGCUGCCAGUCUGCAAGGAGCCGCCAGAGCUGCCAGUCUGCAAGGAGCCGCCAGAGCAGCCAGUCUGCAAGGAGCCGCCAGAGCAGCCAGUCAGCAUGGAGCAGCCAGUCAGCAUGGAGCAGCCAGUCAGCAUGGAGCAGCCAGAGCAGCCAGUCAGCAUGGAGCAGCCGGUCAGCAUGGAGCAGCCAGUCAGCAUGGAGCAGCCAGUCAGCAUGGAGCAGCCAGUCAGCAUGGAGCUUCCAGAUCUGCCAGUCGACCAGACUCUUCCAGAUCUGCCAGUCGACCAGACUCUUCCAGAUCUGCCAGUCGACCAGACUCUUCCAGAUCUGCCAGUCGACCAGACUCUUCCAGAUCUGCCAGUCGACCAGACUCUUCCAGAUCUGCCAGUCAGCCAGGGGUCGCCAGUCAGCCAGGAGCUGCCGCCCCUCUGUCCAGAGCUUCCGCCCCUCUGUCCCGAGCUGCCAUCCCUCUGUCCAUUGAGAAGAGUUGCCAUGGUGAGGAGGCCACGGAAGAGGAUAAGGUGGGGGAAGACUAAGGUGAAGUGGGGGCCACGUCCAGCACCAGAGCCGCCACCGCGGACAGAUGCCCACCCAGACCCUCCCCUAUAG
rnacentral:lncRNA from 1 species